rnacentral:lncRNA from 1 species
UUACAAAUUUGUAGAUUUUCCAGAAUGGAACUAACUGGAACCCUUCAUUUUGCAGCCGGAGCUCCCUGCCCCUUUAGGGGCAGGGAGCCAGUGAUUC